AGACUUAGAUAGAUUGGAUCAUUGGGCCAACAUCAAUGCACUCCUGGUGUGCUGACCCCUCUGAUUUCCCCAAAUGCAGAAAACUCGACUGCACAAUUAGGAGUAGUGGGGACUGCAUUCGUGCUCUCCCUU
rnacentral:snRNA from 1 species